AUUCUACUCCCUCCAUUGCACAAUACAUGCCUUCUAUUUGUCAAAAUAUAUAUGUAUCUAGACAUGUCUUAGUAUAUAGGUACAUCCAUUUUUGGACAAAUGGAAGUCAAGUAUUUUGGAACGGAGGGAGUACGCA
rnacentral:pre_miRNA from 1 species